rnacentral:tRNA from 2 species
GCCUCGGUGGCUUAGAGGUAUAGCGCGUCCUUGGUAAGGACGAGGUCGAGGGUUCAAUUCCCUCCCGGGGCUCC